rnacentral:rRNA from 1 species
AGUGAACGCUGGCGGUAGGCCUAACACAUGCAAGUCGAACGGCAGCACAGGAGAGCUUGCUCUCUGGGUGGCGAGUGGCGGACGGGUGAGGAAUACAUCGGAAUCUACUCUGUCGUGGGGGAUAACGUAGGGAAACUUACGCUAAUACCGCAUACGAACUACGGGUGAAAGCAGGGGACCUUCGGGCCUUUCGCGUGUGAAUGGGCCGAUGUCGGAUUAGCUAGUUGGCGGGGUAAAGGACCACCAAGGCGGCGAUCCGUAGCUGGUCUGAGGGGAUGAUCAGCCACACUGGAACUGAGACACGGUCCAGACUCCUACGGGAGGCAGCAGUGGGGAAUGUUGGACAAUGGGCGCAAGCCUGAUCCAGCCAUACCGCGUGGGUGAAGAAGGCCUUCGGGUUGUAAAGCCCUUUUGUUGGGAAAGAAAUCCAGCUGGCUAAUACCCGGUUGGGAUGACGGUACCCAAAGAAUAAGCACCGGCUAACUUCGUGCCAGCAGCCGCCGUAA